rnacentral:rRNA from 1 species
UACGUAGGUCCCGAGCGUUGUCCGGAUUUAUUGGGCGUAAAGCGAGCGCAGGUGGUUUAUUAAGUCUGGUGUAAAAGGCAGUGGCUCAACCAUUGUAUGCAUAGGAAACUGGUAGACUUGAGUGCAGAAGAGGAGAGUGGAAUUCCAUGUGUAGCGGUGAAAUGCGUAGAUAUAUGGAGGAACACCGGUGGCGAAAGCGGCUCUCUGGCCUGUAACUGACACUGAGGCUCGAAAGCGUGGGGAGCAAACAGG